CUUGGUCAUUUAGAGGAAGUAAAAGUCGUAACAAGGUUUCCGUAGGUGAACCUGCGGAAGGAUCAUUACUGAACGAAAUGGGUGGCAAGGCUGUCGCUGGCUCGAAUGAGCAUGUGCACGUCUUUUGCUGCUUGCUUCAUUCUCUUCUCCACCUGUGCACUCUUUGUAGACACUUGGGAUGUGAGAGAGGUUAGCAUUGAUUGUUGACCUCUCUUGAUAUUGAAAAGUCUGGGUGUUUAUGUAUUUUUUGACACACACGUUUGAAUGUCUAUAGAAUGAAAAUGUAGGCUUUUGUCAGCCUUUAAAUGAUAAAAUACAACUUUCAACAACGGGUCUCUUGGCUCUCGCAUCGAUGAAGAACGCAGCGAAAUGCGAUAAGUAAUGUGAAUUGCAGAAUUCAGUGAAUCAUCGAAUCUUUGAACGCAUCUUGCGCUCCUUGGUAUUCCGAGGAGCAUGCCUGUUUGAGUGUCAUUAAAUAUCUCAAAAAGCUUGUGCUUUUUUGGCACAGGAGUUUUGGACAUUGGGAGUUGCCGGCUGCUGGAUAACAGUGGUGGGCUCUUCUGAAAAGCAUUAGUUGAGGAGCUUUGCACUCUAUUGGUGUGAUAGACUAUCUAUGCCAGGAGAUGCUUCAUGAUCCUCUGCCAUCUAACCGUCUUUAUAAGACAAUAUGAUAAACUUGACCUCAAAUCAGGUAGGACUACCCGCUGAACUUAAGCAUAUCAAUAAGCGGAGGAAAAGAAACUAACAAGGAUUCCCUUAGUAACUGCGAGUGAAGAGGGAAAAGCUCAAAUUUAAAAUCUGGCAGUGUUUCACUGUCCGAGUUGUAACCUAGAGAAGUGUAACCUGCGCUGGACCGUGUAUAAGUCUCCUGGAAUGGAGCGUCACAGAGGGUGAGAAUCCCGUCUUUGACACGGACUACCAGUGCAUUGUGGUUGUGCUCUCAACGAGUCGAGUUGUUUGGGAAUGCAGCUCUAAAUGGGUGGUAAAUUCCAUCUAAAGCUAAAUAUUGGCGAGAGACCGAUAGCGAACAAGUACCGUGAGGGAAAGAUGAAAAGAACUUUGGAAAGAGAGUUAAACAGUACGUGAAAUUGCUGAAAGGGAAACGCUUGAAGU
rnacentral:rRNA from 1 species